rnacentral:rRNA from 1 species
GACGAACGCUGGCGGCGCGCCUAACACAUGCAAGUCGAACGGAAAGGCCCUGCUCUUGUGGGUUGAUCGAGUGGCGAAAGGGUGAGUAACACGUGCGUAAUCCGCCCUUGAUUUUGGGAUAACUUCAGGAAACUGGGGCUUAUACCGGACAGGAGCUCUUGCUCCAUGGUGGGGGUUGGAAAGUUCCGGCGGUUGGGGAUGGACUCGCGCCUUAUCAGCUUGUUGGUGGGGUAGUGGCUUACCAAGGCUUUGACGGGUAGCCGGCCUGAGAGGGUGACCGGCCAGAUUGGGACUGAGAUACGGCCCAGACUCCUACGGGAGGCAGCAGUGGGGAAUAUUGCACAAUGGGCGGAAGCCUGAUGCAGCGACGCCGCGUGCGGGAUGACGGCCUUCGGGUUGUAAACCGCUUUCGCCAGUGACGAAGCGUGAGUGACGGUAAUGGGUAAAGAAGCACCGGCUAACUACGUG